AGGGGUGUAGUUUAAUUGGCAAGACAUUGGGCCUUGGACCCAAUACUGCUGGUUCGAAUCCAGCCGCCCCUG
rnacentral:tRNA from 1 species